CCUCAGUUCGUCAGCUGUCCUUUCGUUCUUUUAUUUUUCUCUUUCGUGGAUGCCAUGUUCUUUGGAAGUUUAAGACCAAGUGAAUGGCCUUUUAGGCUUCCUCCACAUGA